UCUAAAGAUUGAAACGUUUAAUCAGUGCUAAUAAUUGUAAAACUUUUGUUUUCUCAACAUGAAGUUUUUUAGUAUUUUUAUCUUCAUUGCCUUCUUCUGUUUGACUACGGCUAACCCACAAUAUUAUAAUGAAGAAGUGGUAAAUGAAUUCAACAGAUAUAAGGCCGUCAAUGCUCGCAAUGUUUUCCCACGCCGACAAUCUAUUCAAAAAUUACAAUAUAUUGAAGGAGAUGAAUCUUUCCCAUAAGAGAUGUAAACUAUCCAAAAAUGAAAAAAAAGCAUUUUUAAAAUUAGAACGAAAUAAAAAAAUACG